UACGUAGGGAGCAAGCGUUGUCCGGAAUCAUUGGGCGUAAAGCGCGCGUAGGCGGCCCGGUAAGCCCGUCGUGAAAGUCAAAGGCUCAACCUUUGAAUGUCGAUGGAUACUGCCGGGCUAGAGUCCGGAAGAGGCGAGUGGAAUUCCUGGUGUAGCGGUGAAAUGCGCAGAUAUCAGGAAGAACACCGAUGGCGAAAGCAGCUCUCUGGGACGGUACUGACGCUGAGGCGCGAAAGCGUGGGGAGCGAACAGG
rnacentral:rRNA from 1 species